rnacentral:tRNA from 1 species
UCCAGGGUAGCCUAGUGGACAUGGCAUCUGCCCGGUAAGCGGAACAUUAUGGGUUCGAUUCCCAUCCCUGAAC